GACGAACGCUGGCGGCGUGCCUAAUACAUGCAAGUAGAACGCUGAAGGAGGAGCUUGCUUCUCUGGAUGAGUUGCGAACGGGUGAGUAACGCGUAGGUAACCUGCCUGGUAGCGGGGGAUAACUAUUGGAAACGAUAGCUAAUACCGCAUAAGAGUAGAUGUUGCAUGACAUUUGCUUAAAAGGUGCAAUUGCAUCACUACCAGAUGGACCUGCGUUGUAUUAGCUAGUUGGUGGGGUAACGGCUUACCAAGGCGACGAUACAUAGCCGACCUGAGAGGGGGAUCGGCCACACUGGGACUGAGACACGGCCCAGACUCCUACGGGGGGCAGCAGUAGGGGAUCUUCGGCAAUUGACGGAAGUCUGACCGAGCAACGCCGCGUGAGUGAAGAAGGUUUUCGGAUCGUAAAGCUCUGUUGUAAGAGAAGAACGAGUGUGAGAGUGGAAAGUUCACACUGUGACGGUAUCUUACCAGAAAGCGACGGCUAACUACGUG
rnacentral:rRNA from 1 species